GGGGGAAUAGCUCAACUAGAGCGUUACAUUGAAGCUGUAAAGGAGAUCUGUUUCUUCCUCCA
rnacentral:tRNA from 1 species